rnacentral:rRNA from 1 species
UACGUAGGGGGCUAGCGUUGUCCGGAAUCAUUGGGCGUAAAGCGCGUGUAGGCGGUCCGGUAAGUCCGCUGUGAAAGUCGAAGGGCCUCAACCCUCGAAUGCCCGGUGGAUACUGAUCGGGCUUUGAGGUACGGGAGAGGCGGAGUGGAAAUUCCCUGGUGUAGCGGUGAAAUGCGCAGAUAGUCAGGAGGAACACCGAGUUGCGAAGGCAGCUCGCUGGAACGUUACUGACGCUGAGACGCGAAGCGUGGGGAGCAAACAGG